rnacentral:tRNA from 1 species
GCCUUCGUGGUGUAACGGUAGCACACUCGGCGCCUAUUCGAGAGGUCCAGGUUCGAGUCCCGGCAGGGGCA